rnacentral:lncRNA from 1 species
UGAGUAAAUAAAGUCCAUAAGUAUGUUACAACAAGGUGCAACGAAUUCACCAAAUUCAGUGCUUGAUUAGAAGCUUCUGAAGUCUGAACAGAUGAACAAAAUUGUUUUAUUUGCAUCAAAAAGAUGACGCUCCAUAUAUAAGAGGUACAUUACAGAUGACGCUCCAUAUAUAAGAGGUAAAUUGUUUUAUUUGCAUCAAAAAGAUGACGCUCCUAAAAGCUAAAUGUCUUCUUAUGCAUGCAUCCACUCUGGGUUUCUUACAAUUCAGAAAACAGUUAUUCAGCAAAAGCUACAUGUCUCCUUAAUUGAAGAAAGAAUUUUGUUU